rnacentral:lncRNA from 1 species
AUUUAUGCAAGUAAUUAAGGAUGUUGUUAGUCACCUUUGCAACAGCCACAGUGUAUUGGUAUCGGAGCCGGUUACGUCAUAAAGGGAGUGCUGCAACCAGUGAACCGCCACGGCUUCCGUCUUGCUGACGUUGAGUCUCUCGGGUUCCAAGUUACCCACUUUAUCUGCAACGGGGCAAAACUCGAAUGGUAUUCCCAGUUUGUCUGCAAAAUCAGAUAAACGUUUACCGGUGGCUUCCAGGGCCUCUAAGGAGGUUCCAAGUCCGGUGAGGCGUACGUGCGGUGGGCCACCGGGUCUGGAAGCGAGAAUGUGGAACAGUCCGGGCCAUUGCAGGCCUUGCAUUAUGUCAAGAUCUAUAAUGUGCACUCUCUCCUCCCUUUCGAACGCUUCUUGUAUGGC